GGAGCAGUGGUCUAGUCGGUCUAGGAUGCCGGCCUGUCACGCCGGAGGUCGCGGGUUCGAAUCCCGUCUGCUCCGCCA
rnacentral:tRNA from 2 species